rnacentral:rRNA from 1 species
AUUGAACGCUGGCGGCAGGCCUAACACAUGCAAGUCGAGCGGAUGAGUGGAGCUUACUCCAUGAUUCAGCGGCGGACGGGUGAGUAAUGCCUAGGAAUCUGCCUGGUAGUGGGGGACAACGUUUCGAAAGGAACGCUAAUACCGCAUACGUCCUACGGGAGAAAGUGGGGGAUCUUCGGACCUCACGCUAUCAGAUGAGCCUAGGUCGGAUUAGCUAGUUGGUGGGGUAAAGGCUCACCAAGGCGACGAUCCGUAACUGGUCUGAGAGGAUGAGCAGUCACACUGGAACUGAGACACGGUCCAGACUCCUACAGGAGGCAGCAGUGGGGAAUAUUGGACAAUGGGCGAAAGCCUGAUCCAGCCAUGCCGCGUGUGUGAAGAAGGUCUUCGGAUUGUAAAGCACUUUAAGUUGGGAGGAAGGGCAGUAAGUUAAUACCUUGCUGUUUUGACGUUACCAACAGAAUAAGCACCGGCUAACUUCGUGCCAGCCGCCGCAGUAAAAC